GAGAGAGGAAAAACAUUAAUGUACUUAGGGAUGACAGUCACAUAGGUUUCAAAGAGUAUACCAGACUUCUCUCUGAAAUGAGACUUGGUUGUCCUCUUUCUGAUAAAUUCCCAGAUUUAACAAAAAAGCUGCCUUCUGCCAUGAGGACAUAUUGAUAUAAAAGUUUGAGAGGUCCUGGUGCACUUCUUCACACUUGCAGACGUGUGAGGAUGUAUGACUCUAAACCACACAGCGUACAGUUCCUGCCUACUUAAUGCUGACUUUUCUACCACUGCCUCUGGUUUUGGUCACUGGCAGCUGCUGAUUCAUGGUAAACUCCCAGAGCUUGGAGUCAGAAGACUGAGUUUAAGUUCCAUUAUUGCCCCCCCUGCCUUUCAUUUUUAGCCAUAAUAUCAAUCCCUCUCAGUCACUAAGUGAUUGUGGCAACACCAUGUACAGUUCUUGGUGGCAUUAAAUCAGAUGGUGUAUAAGAGUAUUUUGCCAAAACUGUAAAGGAGGAUGUGGCUGUAGGGGCUGGUAGUUCUCAUGAGUAUGACUGCUCUUCUUUCCCACAGCUAAAAGAAUAUCAGCAGAGGAGCAGCCCUGGUGUUCCGGCAGGAGCGAAGACGAAAAAGAAAACUACUGGCAGUAGCCCUGAGACAACCACUUCUGGUGGUUGCCACUCACCUGGGGAUAGCCGGUACCAAGAACUGGAAGUAGCCCUGGACUCAAGCUCCGCAACAAUCAAUCAACUCAAUGAAAACAUAGAAUCAUUGAAACAACAGAAGAAACAAGUGGAACAUCAGCUGGAAGAAGAAAAGAAAGCAAACAAUGACAUACACAAAGCACAGACGGAGCAGUUAGAGACAAUCAACAUCCUCACAUUGGAAAAGGCAGACUUGAAGACCACCCUUUACCAUACUAAACGUGCCGCCAGACACUUCGAAGAAGAGUCCAAGGAUCUGGCCGGCCGCCUGCAAUCCUCCUUACAGCGUAUUCAAGAAUUGGAGCGGGCUCUCUCUGCUGUGUGUACACAGCAGCGGGAAGAGGACAGGGUGAGUCCAACCAGCUGCCCCGUCCCCUGGCAGCCUGGCUUCCCAGAUGGAGGAGUGAGCCUAAAGGUCCCUUCUGCA
rnacentral:lncRNA from 10 species